rnacentral:sRNA from 11 species
UUAUGGGGGUAGGGCUGGGGGCAGGUGGCCGGACCGAGGUCCCGGGGCCCCCCCUGCAAAUCGUGGACCCGACCCGUUUCCGGGCG